GCUGGAAUCCUUUACAAUGCGCGCAAGCGUGAUAAGGGAAACCCAAGUGCUCACUUUAUGUGGGCUUUUGCCAAGUGUAAGUAGCUUGGAGAAUAAGUGGUGGGCAAGACUGGUGCCAGCCGCCGCGGUAACACCAGCGCCACUAGUGGUGGUCAUAUUUAUUGGGUCUAAAGCGUCUGUAGCCGACCGGGUAAGUCCUUUGUGAAACCGUGGGGCUUAACUCCACGACGGGCAAGGGAAACUACCUGGUUAGGGACCGGGAGAGGUUGGGAGAAUUCCUUGGGAAGCGGUAAAAUGUUUUAAUCCUCGGAAGACUACCUAUGGCGAAGGCACUCAACCAGAACGGAUCCGACGGUGAGAGGCGAAAGCUAGGGGAGCGAUCAGG
rnacentral:rRNA from 1 species